AAAAUAAUCCUCUGCACUGCCUCGGCGCACCUUCCAGCACAACAUGGGAAGCACUGAUGUUUGGAGGUAGGCUACGAACAAGGACCUCCGGAAUUAUGCCUCAGAAAACACCAAGAGGUCUACUGAGAACAGGAAGGAGGACCUCUGGAAUUGGGCCUCAGAAAACACCAAGAGGUU